AGCCUGAUCCAGCCAUGCCGCGUGAGUGAUGAAGGCCCUAGGGUCGUAAAGCUCUUUCGCCGUGAUGAUAAUGACAGUAGCAGGUAAAGAAACCCCGGCUAACUCCGUGCCAGCAGCCGCGGUAAUACGGAGGGGGUUAGCGUUGUUCGGAAUUACUGGGCGUAAAGCGCGCGUAGGCGGGUUGUUAAGUUAGAGGUGAAAUCCCGGGGCUCAACCCCGGAACUGCCUUUAAUACUGGCAACCUAGAGUUCGAGAGAGGUGAGUGGAAUUCCGAGUGUAGAGGUGAAAUUCGUAGAUAUUCGGAGGAACACCAGUGGCGAAGGCGGCUCACUGGCUCGAUACUGACUGAGGUGCGAAAGUGUGGGGAGCAAACAGGAUUAGAUACCCUGGUAGUCCACACCGUAAACGAUACCAGUCGUCGGGUAGCAUGCUAUUCGGUGACACACCUAACGGAUUAAGCAU
rnacentral:rRNA from 1 species